rnacentral:rRNA from 1 species
AGCGGCGGACGGGUGAGUAACACGUGGGUAACCUACCUAUAAGACUGGGAUAACUCCGGGAAACCGGGGCUAAUACCGGAUAAUAUUUUGAACCGCAUGGUUCAAUAGUGAAAGACGGUUUCGGCUGUCACUUAUAGAUGGACCCGCGCCGUAUUAGCUAGUUGGUAAGGUAACGGCUUACCAAGGCGACGAUACGUAGCCGACCUGAGAGGGUGAUCGGCCACACUGGAACUGAGACACGGUCCAG